rnacentral:snRNA from 1 species
CUGUUUGGCAGCACAGAUACUAAAAUUGAAACAAUACAGAAAAGACUAGCAUGGCCCCUGCCCAAAGAUGACAUGCAAAUUCUCAAAUUUGCGAAGUGUUC